GUGGGGAAUAUUGGGCAAUGGGGGAAACCCUGACCCAGCGACGCCGCGUGAGGGAAGAAGGCCUUAGGGUCGUAAACCUCUGUUUUGUGGGAAGAAGAGCGUGACGGUACCACACGAGGAAGUCCCGGCUAACUACGUGCCAGCAGCCGCGGUAAUACGUAGGGGACGAGCGUUGUCCGGAUUUACUGGGCGUAAAGGGCGCGUAGGCGGUCAUUUAAGUCAGCUGUGAAAUGGUUUGGCUUAACCGGAUCAUGCGGUUGAAACUGGAUGACUGGAGUGCUGGAGAGGCAAGUGGAAUUCCCAGUGUAGCGGUGAAAUGCGUAGAUAUUGGGAAGAACACCGGUGGCGAAGGCGACUUGCUGGCCAGCAACUGACGCUGAGGCGCGAAAGCCAGGGGAGCAAACGGGAUUAGAAACCCUAGUAGUCC
rnacentral:rRNA from 1 species